GAUGAACGCUGGCGGCGUGCUUAACACAUGCAAGUCGAACGAAGCACUUUAUUUGAUUUCCUUCGGGACUGAUUAUUUUGUGACUGAGUGGCGGACGGGUGAGUAACGCGUGGGUAACCUGCCUUGUACAGGGGGAUAACAGUUGGAAACGGCUGCUAAUACCGCAUAAGCGCACGGCAUCGCAUGAUGCAGUGUGAAAAACUCCGGUGGUAUAAGAUGGACCCGCGUUGGAUUAGCUAGUUGGUGAGGUAACGGCCCACCAAGGCGACGAUCCAUAGCCGACCGGAGAGGGGGACCGGCCACAUUGGGAAUGAGACACGGCCCAAACUCCUACGGGAGGCAGCAGUGGGGAAUAUUGCACAAUGGGCGAAAGCCUGAUGCAGCGACGCCGCGUGAGCGAAGAAGUAUUUCGGUAUGUAAAGCUCUAUCAGCAGGGAAGAUAAUGACGGUACCUGACUAAGAAGCACCGGCUAAAUACGUG
rnacentral:rRNA from 1 species